UACGGAGGGUGCAAGCGUUGUCCGGAAUCACUGGGCGUAAAGGGCGCGUAGGCGGCUCAUGAAGGCUGUGGUGAAAGUCCGGGCUCAACCUCGGAUCGGCCGUGGCGACUCGUGGGCUGGAGCACUGUAGAGGCGGGUGGAAUUCCGGGUGUAGCGGUGGAAUGCGUAGAGAUCCGGAAGAACACCAGUGGCGAAGGCGGCCCGCUGGGCAGUGGCUGACGCUGAGGCGCGACAGCGUGGGGAGCGAACAGG
rnacentral:rRNA from 1 species